UCCCCCAGUAACGGCGAGUGAAAGCGGCAACAGCUCAAAUUUGAAAUCUGGCCCCCGGGUCCGAGUUGUAAUUUGUAGAGGAUGCUUUUGGCGAGGUGCCUUCCGAGUUCCCUGGAACGGGACGCCAUAGAGGGUGAGAGCCCCGUCUGGUCGGACACCGAGCCUCUGUAAAGCUCCUUCGACGAGUCGAGUAGUUUGGGAAUGCUGCUCAAAAUGGGAGGUAUAUGUCUUCUAAAGCUAAAUAUUGGCCAGAGACCGAUAGCGCACAAGUAGAGUGAUCGAAAGAUGAAAAGCACUUUGAAAAGAGGGUUAAAAAGUACGUGAAAUUGUUGAAAGGGAAGCGCCUAUGACCAGACUUGGGCCCGGUGAAUCAUCCAGCGUUCUCGCUGGUGCACUUUGCCGGGCACAGGCCAGCAUCAGUUUGGCGCGGGGGAGAAAGGCUCUGGGAAUGUGGCUCCUCCGGGAGUGUUAUAGCCCACUGCGUAAUACCCUGCGCCGGACUGAGGUACGCGCAUUGCAAGGAUGCUGGCGUAAUGGUCAUCAGCGACCCGUCUUGAAACACGGACCAAGGAGUCGUCUUCGUAUGCGAGUGUUCGGGUGUCAAACCCCUACGCGUAAUGAAAGUGAACGCAGGUGAGAGCUUCGGCGCAUCAUCGACCGAUCCUGAUGUUCUCGGAUGGAUUUGAGUAAGAGCAUACGGGGCCGGACCCGAAAGAAGGUGAACUAUGCCUGUAUAGGGUGAAGCCAGAGGAAACUCUGGUGGAGGCUCGCAGCGGUUCUGACGUGCGAAUCGAUCGUCAAAUAUGGGCAUGGGG
rnacentral:rRNA from 1 species